CUCCCAGCUCCUCCAGCGCUCUGUCGCCUGGUCCCGAGGUUUCCCGAGCGCUGUCUCGCCUCCUUAGCAACAGGCGCUGGGGAACCGGGAGAGGCGAGAUGUGGGGGUGGCUCCUAUAUUCUAGGUAAGAGGUACUUAAGGUUUCCUUUGUUGUCGUUUGGAAAGAGAUUCUGGCUGCAGGAAAGGGGAACGAAGACAGUGGUCUGUGCGUUCCAGGGGUGUCUCUGCGGUUUUUCCAAGGCUGCCUCCUGGACUGGGAGACCCGGGCCCGGCACCGCCAGUCUCUGUCCGAGGUGCUGACAGGCUUCCGCUGCUUCAGAGAGCGGGAGGCCGCGCCUAGGCGGGCUCUCAGAGGAGCCGCUCUACCGGGAGAGUCGGAGGCUGGUGACACAGUGUCACUUAGGUCUUCUGUGAAUGCAGACUGGAUUCAAUAUUCUGACCUGUGGGAAGCGGAGGUCAGUACCCCGAGGUGCGAAGCGGGCUUUUGCCAGGAGUGCUUUAGGACGCCAGGGAAUCAGGAGAAGGAUGGCCCUUUCAUUUGUUAAUUGAGCUGAAACGCCGUGGGAUUUGAAAACUAGUUUAGUUUUCUGCGGAGGGACACUCUGGAAGGAGCAUUUGUAAACAAUAUUUGUUUUUUGGAAGAAAUUGUUUGGCAACUUUUCUUUCGGACAUACAACAUUGAGAAUACAGUGAGACAUGGUUUUAGAUCCACUCUGUAGGCUUCUUAACUCUCGUGUACGUCGGAAUCACGUGGGCAAACUUGCUUUAAAUGCGUGCCUGCUAGUUCCUCACUCCAAGGGAUUCUGAUCAAGAUAGGCUGGAGUCUUGGGGUCCCUGCAUUUAAAACUACUUCUUCAAAUAUUUUGAAGCGGGUAUUUUGUGGACAAUAUUUUGAGAAACUUUGCAGUAAGUCACAGAUAUAUGAAUAUAUACAAAUAAAGUAAAACUAUUUUUAAAAAUAGACGUUAGUGAGAUACUUUUAAAAUACCUACCACUAAGGAUCUUAUAGGAAGAAACUUUUGACCACGCCAAGCUGUUCUCAUUAAUUUUUCACUGUUAAUCUAAAGCUUUUAAAUUUACAAUCCCAUGUAUUUAAAAAUGUACUUUUUUCCAAAGUAUAUCACUUAGGACAUUUGUAAGUCAAAUAUUGUAUCAGUAAAAGUGUUAGCAAGGAACACAGAAGGAAUGUGACUGCAUAAAUUACCUUACAGUAAAAAUUAACAUGUCUAUUUUACUUUUUAUGUAAUACUAUAAAAAUAAUUUUACUCAAAAUGUUUGUUUUAUGUUUAUAAGGAAACAAGUUAAUACAUUUAAGAUCCACACUGUGUGAUCUGUGAUUUUCUCAACUGGGGACUUCACAUUCUCUAGAGAAGACAAUUUAGUACAGAAGUUAAUUGAUUAUUUAGUGGAUUAUUAUGUCAAAAAUAAUUAUGUCAGAGGAUGGCAGGUGGAAGAGAAAAUGUAUUGAUUUGGCCCUUUAAGAACUCUACACAAUAGUAAAAUAAUUCGGGGAGUGAGGAGAGUGUGCUGUUGCACACCAUCACAUAUUUGUUUGAAUUAUUUUUUAAACUUAGUUUUCCAGUUGUUCUGGCAUCAUGCUGAUAGUUGGUACGUUUAAAAACUUCAUCAGUGUUUGCCUAAUUUGUAGUCUAUGAUUUGAAGUGUCUCAAUUUUCUCUGAACCCAGUAAGAGAAAGACAAAUGGAAGAUACAGGCCAUUGUAUUGAACAAUCUUUAAGUGUAUAUUCCAUAGCCAACAGGUAUGCAUAGCAUGCCAAAAUAUACUUGUACGCAUUUUUUUUGCAUUCUUAUGACAGUAAUUUUUCUGGCUCUGUAAACACACACCUAUUAUAAACAAAUAUUGAGGAUCCCAGUAGGAUUGGAGACUGAAGGCUAUUGGGCAGAUGUGAAUGUCAGCCAUUUAAAAUGUCUUCCUCCCACAAGCAGAUUGGUCACGUCAUGUUUUAGAAAAAUCUGAUUUUCCUUAAAAUAUUUGUGCAUGAUAAUAGCUAUGGUAUUUCACCUGUUCCUAAAGGAGCCUCAAAUAGAGCAAUGGUUAAAUAUUUAGGGACUCACGUUUUAGAGGGGAAGAACAGAAAAUAUAUAAGCAUAGGAUUAGAGCUGCCACUCAGUCAAUGUUUGAGAACAGUAAAAUCUAUUCAUGAGCUUUAUUAAUCACCUUACUGGUCACACAAAACUAAGUGUGGUAAGUUAUGAAAUUCAAUAAUAAAUGGUCUCACUUUAAGUGUGUUGUAACUCUUAGAGCAGAUAUGACAAACGGUUGUUCACAGGUAGGAUGUGGCAAGUCCCAUUAGAGGAACAAGUGACAGAGGCACACAGAACAGAGAGGGAGGGAGGAGGAGGGACGAGAGAAGCUGGCUGGGAGGAAGGAGGUAUUUGAUGUGGAAACUUUCAUGAAAUAAAUUAUAUUUAAAUUGUGUGAGGGGUAUGAAUAGAAUUCUGACUGGCUUACUUGAAAGAGGAUAUUCUGGGUUAGGAAAGAAAAUGGCAGAGUUACGAAUGGGUGGAUGAGCAGGAUCAGAGAUUUAGAAGGGGAGAUUCCAGAGACGAAGUUGGAAAAGCAAGACAAACCCCUGUGCACCUAGGCCGUUCUGCAGGAGGCCAAGGGCUUCACAUGAUAAUUUCAGGAAAUAAGGAGCCUAUAAAUGGUAAAGGUUUUAAAGCAGGUAAUUGACAUGAUUUGAGAUGUGGCGUAAGAUGACUAUUUUGGCCAAAAAGUUAAUUUAGAUAGAGGAUUAGCGAUGGUGAGGUAGAAUGAAUGAGGGAUAACUGAUCUUGGAAGAUUCUUUCUUGAAAUUUUCUCCUCAGGUUUUGAUAGAUGCAUUUUUGAAAACGUGUAUGUAGUGAAAUAAAUACAAAUUCACCAAAGUUCAAAACAAGGACUUUGAAAAACACACGUAUCUCAAAAUGGGGAGAGAUGUGUAUGCAUUUGUUCAAGAGUUUUUUUAGUGUGAUUGCAGAGAACAGUAACAGAUAAUACACAACAAUGAUGCUGUUGUUGCUUUUUGCUUUAAACAAUUGUAGACUCCAGUCCUUAUCUACUGGUAGCCUGUGUAGAUGAUGCCUCCAAAAAAUGUCUCUGAUCUCAAAUAAACACAUAUAUAGAUCAGUUAAGCAUGUAAAUGCAUAUCUCAUCAUUCAUUUUGGUGUUUUGUGGAAACAAUCUAGGAAGGGAUUUGAAUGUUUUAAUAUUUAGCAUUGGUUUUGCCAUAGCUUGCUUCAUGGAUAGUGGAGUUAUGCAUUUCCAAUUUUUUUCUAAAUCUUUUAAUGUUUCUUUUCGUACAUUCUUUUUUUUUAAAAAUUAGUUGACCUGAUACUUGUCAAAGAAAAUUUUGUUUUGUGUAACUUCCCUCUUGUUUCUCUUAGCCCCUGUUUAAAAUUUUAGAUAAUCUAUAAAAAUUAUACACGGCUAGAUAAUUAUUGAGAUUUAGUUUGUAUAUUUCUAUAAGUGAGAUUGCGUAUGUCCAAUAACACUGUCUGCUGAAAAUUACUGUGUGUGUUAUAAUUUUGGUGCUUACCAGUGGUUCUAGGGAACAAUAAAUGUGUUGAGUAGAUAGAUGAAGAGAUCAACACAUGGGAAAAACUUUGCAAGUAUAGGAAACAUAAAAUAUUGAAAAACAAAACAAUUAGGGAUUUUUAAUUUAAAAACAGUAUUUUAAAAUAUGAGUUUUAAAAAAUUUAUUAAAAUGAGCCAUUGUUUGAUCUGUUAAUUUGGAGAAGUUACAUGUACUUACUUUUUACUUCAUUAACUAUCUGGUAUUAGGGACAUAAAACUAGAUUCAGACUCUAGUGAUAGUAAUGAUAAUUCCUGUGAUUUAACUUGCACUUCGCUAUUACUUCAUACUUAAUUAAUCCAUUAAAAUUAACUCAAUCCUAAUGAAAGUGUAACUACAGGACUUUUUUUUUCUCAUUUCAUGUGUAUAAAUAAUAAAUUAUUGUUUUUUGUUUUUAAAAAUUAGAGUUCCUUUUGGGUAACAUACAAUGUGUAUUUUUAGUUAUCAUGAGACAUACUCAUCCAUUAUGCUAGCUGUUUUGUGUGCACUUCUCACUUGUUGCAUUUUCUUAUAAAAUCCAUUUUUUUAAUGUGUAGGUGUGAAAUAAGUGUGCAUAUGAACAUAAUUUUAGCACAUUUCAAGAAGCAGCUUUGUAGCUGUAUCACUACUAAAUGGAUACAGUCAUACCCAUGUACAAAAAUCACACACACACACAUUUGCACUAUUAUUUUAUGUUUUUCUUCUUUUUAGAAGAGGGGCAAAGAGGAGAGGCAGAUUCAGGCUAGAGUGAGCUAGGGUUAGAGGUUUGGAAAAUGCAGCUUUUAGACAUCUUUUGACUAAAUUUAUGUUAAUUAGUCCUCCUUCCCCCUACUUCAGGGUCUAGAAGCUGCUUUGCCUUCAGUGAGUGCUGAAUGAACACAGUGCAUCUAGUCCCUGGCCAGGUUCUCAGGCAGGAGGAGCUGAAUCCCAGGGGUCCAUGUAGUGUGUUUAAAAAAAGCCUUACAGCAUUGGGAGCUAUGGGUUCUGUUUCCAAGUCCCUGGGAACGUCUAGCCUCAGGCAAGUCACUUAAUCCUCAGGAAUUCAGUCGGAGGUUUCCAGAUGCCCAUUGUGUGGGGACACAAUUGAUACCAAAGUGAUAUCAUAAGAGGCUGAGCUCUACAGAGAAAAUCUCAGUGAGGACACCCACACUAUCACAUGUUAGCAGGCUGUCCUUUACUGAUUGCUUCUGGAGAGCCCUGGGCCAUAUUCAGAGUUUGCAUAUGAAUUGCUAUUAGCAGUUUAAAGCCUUCUUUCUGUUGGAGGUGCUUAGAAGCAGGAAUACAAUCAAAAGGCGUGAAGACACAGGGGAAGAAGAAAUCGAAGAGAGAAUAGAAACAGUUAAAAAUUUUUUCUAAACAGAUUUCCAAUUCUGGCCAAGAUGGAAUAGUGCCAUUCCUCCCAGGUCCUUCCUCCUGGAACACAAAACUCUGGCCAUAACACAACAAAUAAACACAGGAAGAAUCUGAAGGUUGAAAGAGAAAGGCAGCUUGCCUGAGAACCUCAGGACUUGAGGAAUGAUGCUGCGUUGAGUUCCUUAGGUUUUCUUUUUGCCUUUCAUGUAUCCCAGAUACUGCUCUGGGAAGUCUGCAACCUGACACUGCUGACAAGCAGACAGACACACAAACAAACAAACACCAACAAAAAAGCCCCCGCGAAAGGACCAGGAAAAAGAUGGUCUAAGAGCACAAAAAACUUUUUGAUAAUGCCUACCCUACUCCAGCCAAACACCAUCCAAAAGCUGCAUGCACUUCCUCCUCGUUUCAGCAGUCAAGCUGGGAGCUAAUCUUUCACCCACCACUGAGUAGAAACAGGAGGAUGUGCUCCCAACAUACAGAAGAACCAAACGACACCAUCAGUCAACAGGAUUUGAUUGACACUUAUAGAACAUUUUACACAACAAAAGCAGAAUAAACAUUCUUUUCAUCUGCCCAGAGAGCAUUUCAGAAGAUAAACCAUACCAUGAGUCUUAAACAAACUCUAGUACAUUUAAAAUAUUAGUAUUAUACAGUUUAUGUUUUCUAAGCAUAGUGAAAUCAAACUAGAAAUCAGUGACAGAAAGAUAACACUAAAUCACUAAACACUUGGAAGUUAAACAGUAAACUUUUAAGUAAUCCAUAAGUCUAAGAGAAAGUCUCAAAGAAAAUAAAAUGAUACAUAGUACUGAAUGAAAAUGAAAAUGCAGCAUAUCAAAAUUUGGAGUGCACAGUUAAACCAGUGCUGAUGGUGAAAUUGUAGCACUGAACGAUUAAAAAAAAGAAAGAAAAAAAAACUCUCAAAUUUAAGUCCUCAAAAACUAGUAAAGGUAGAUCAAAACAAACCCAAACCAAGCAGAUGAUUUUGUCUUAUUUUUAUUUGUUUAUUUAUUUAUUUUGAGAUGGAGUCUCAUUCUAUUGCCCAGGCUGGAGUGCAGUAAUGCUGUCUCCGCUCAUUCACCCUCCACCAUUUGGGUUCAAGUGAUUCUCCUGCCUCAGCCUCCCAACUAGCUGGGACUCCAGGUGCACACCACCACGCCUGGCUAAAUUUUGUAUUUUUAGCAGAGACCGGGUUUCACCACGUUGGCAAGGCUGGUCUCAAACUCCUGGUCUCAAGUGAUCUGCCCACCUUGGCCUCCCAAAGUACUGGGAUUACAGGCAUGAGCCCCUGUGCCCAGCCCAAACCAAGCAGAUGUAAGAACAUUAUAAAGAUAAAAGAAGAAAUAAAUGAAAUUGAAAACAAAAACCAAUAGAGAAAGUUAAUCAAAUAAAAAUUUUUAUCUUGCCCCCCAAAAUCAAUUAAUUUGAUAAACCUUGGACAAAAAUAAAAAGAGAAAGACAUCAAUGUCAGGAAUGAAACAGAAGCUAUCACACAUCCCACAUACGCUUAAAAGAAAAUAAGGGAAUACCACGAACAAUUUUAUACAUAUAAAUUCAACACUUCAGAAAAAAUAGACCAAUUCCUUAAAAAACAAAAGUUACUAAAAUGUACCCAAGAUGAAGUAGAGAAUCUUAGUAGUCCAUUAAUGACUAAAGAAAUUGAAUUUGUAAUUAGAAGUUCCCAAAAAAGAAAUCUCUGGGCCCAGAUAAUUUCGCUGGAGAAUUCUAUGGUACAUUUAAAGAAGAAUUAUUACUAGCUGUAUGCAGUCUCCUCUAGAAAAUAGAAGAGGAGGGAACCAUUCCCAACUAAUUUUACGAAACCAGUAUUACACUGAUACCAGGAAGAAAGACAGUGUACUAAAGGAAAUCAUGGAACAAAAUCUCUCAAGAACAAUGGCACAAAAAUUCUGAACAAAAUAUGGGCAAAUCAAAGCCAGCAAUAUCUUAGAGGAAUUAUAUGCCAUGACCAAGUGUGAUUUAUUCCAGGUGUGCAAGGCUGUUUGAAGAGUUGAAAAUCAACCAGUGUAUCCACAGUAUUGACAGGCUAAAGAAAAAAAUUGUAGGCAAAAAAAAAAAAAAAAAAAAAAAAAAGCAUUUGAAAAAUACAAUACCCAUUCAUGAUAAAAAUUGUAAAUAAAAAAAUAAAUUAUCAAGACUUUUACAGAAAAAAAAAGAAUAGGGGAGAAUUUCCUUAAUUUAUAAAGAGAAUCUACAAAAAUCCUACAGCUGUCAUUAUAGUUAAAGGUGAAUGACUGGAUUUUUUCCCCCGAUUGUGAACAAGGCAAAGAUAUCCACUUUCACCUAUCUUAUUUUAGCUACUUUAGUAAAGCACAGGUGAUAAAUAGAAAACAUACAGAUUGGGAAGGAAGAAAUACAACAGUCUCUGAUUGACGUGGUUAUCCACAUAAUAAAUCCCAAAGAAUUUAUAUAAAAACUUCUGGAACUGAUAAGUGAAUUAAACAAGAUUACUGGAUACAGGAUCAACACAAAAAUCAAUCACAUCUAUAUGCUAACAACAAAUAUGUGGGAACUGAGAUUAAAAUAAAGACAUAACAUUCAGAAUCACUCUAAGAAAAUGAAGUACUUAGGUAUAAACUUAAUAAAACAAGUGUAGAAACUGUAUGCUGAAAAAAUGCUGUUAAAAGAAAUGAAAGAAGACCUAACUAAAUGGAGAAACUUCCCGUUUUCAUGAAUUGGAAGACUUACCAUAGCAAAAUGUCAAUUCUCCACAAAUCAAUCUAUAGUUUUAUGCAGUCCCUAUCAAAGUCCCAGCAAGGAUUUUUGUACACACAGACAAACAUACUCUAAAAUUUAUAUUGAAGUCUGGGAGAAGGGGAUUUAUACUGAAGUCUGAAGACAGGGAUUGCAUAAAAGCUAUAGACUGAUUUGAGGAGAAUCCCAGUCUGGGAGGACACUGUGGGGGAACAUUCUGCACAAUGGUUACGCUUGCUAUAUUACCACAGUAGUCAAUGGAAUAGAAUAGUCAAUUCAGAAAUAGACCCACACAAAUAUGCCCAACUGAUUAUUUGUUUGUUUGUUUGUUUGUUUAUUUAUUUUGAGAUGGAGUCUUGCUCUGUCGCCCAGGCUGGAGUGCAGUAGUGCGAUCUCUGCUCACUGCAAGUUCCGCCUCCCGGGUUCAUGCCAUUCUCCUGCCUCAGCCUCCUGAGUUAGCUGGACUACAGGUGCCCGCCACCACGCCCGGCUAAUUUUUUGUAUUUUUAGUAGAGAUGGGGUUUCACCGUGUUAGCCAGGAUGGUCUCGAUCUCCUGACCUCGUGAUCUGCCCCUCUCGGCCUCCCAAAGUGCUGGGAUUACAGGUGUGAGCCACCGUGCCUGGCCACCCAGCUGAUUUUUAACAAAGGUUCCAAAGCAAUUCAGUGGAGUGCCUUUAUAACAGUGGUGAUGGGCAAAUGACUUUGACCUAAACCUCAGACUUACACAAACUCCAAAAAAAAAAAAAAACAAAAAACGGACUUAAAUGUAAAAUGUAAAACUUCGGAAAAAAACAUAAAAACAUCUUUAGGACAUAGGGCUAGAAGAAGAAUUCUUAAAUUUAACACCAAAAGCAUGAUUCAUAAAAGGAAAAAUUGGUAGACUGAACCUCAUCAAAUUAAAACAUUUGUUCUGCAAAAGACUCUAAAGACUCCGUACACUUAGAAAAAAUAUCUCCAAACCAUGCAUUUGACAAAGAACUUGGAGUAUAUAAAGAAUUCUCAAAAUUCAGCAGUAACAAACAAUCCAGUCAGAAAAUGGGCAAAACAUAUGCACUGACAUUUCAGGAAAGAGUAUAUACAGAUGGCCAAUAAGCACAUGCAAAAAUGUCCAACAUAAUUAGCCAUUAGCAAAAUGCAAAAAAAAAGCCACAGUGAGAUAUUCCUAAACACCUAUCAGAAUGUCUGUAAGAAUAAUAAAAAAAAAGUGACACUGUUUAAUACUGGGUAGAACGUAGAGAAGCUGGAUUGAUCACUCCUACGUUGCUGGUGGAAAUUAGAAAAUCAUACAGCCACUCUGGAAAAUAAGUUGGCAGUUUCUUAUAAAAUUAAAUCUGCAGUUACCUUACAACCCAGCAAUUGCACUCUGUGGCAUUUAUCUCAGAGGAAUGAAAACCAGUAGUCACACAAAAACCUAUAAACGAAUGUUCACAGCAUCUUUAUUUUUAAUAGCCUGAAACUGGAAACAAACUAAAAUUGUGAAUCGUUAAACAAGCUAUGGCGCAUUCAAACCAUGGAAUUCUAUUCAGCAACAGAAAGAAACUAUUGCUACAGGCACCAAAUUGGAUGGCGCUCAUGGAAUUAUGCUUAUUAAGCGUAAAGGUUACACUAUAUUUUAUUUACAUAAUUAUUAUGAAAUAAUAAAAUUACAGAGAAAGAGGACACAUUAGUGGUUGCCAGUGAUAGAUGGCGGAGGCCAGUGGAGGAGGGGUGUGGGUAAAGAAGGUGACACCCGGAGCCUUGUGAUGUGAGAAAAAAACUGAGCCCAGGAGGUCGAGGCUGCAGGGAAUCUACGCCUAUGAUAAAAUUGCAUAGACCUAUAGCUGUUCCUGCCCACAUAUGAAUACACACCCACGAGUGCAUGAAAUCCUGGUGAAAUCUGAAUGAGGUCGUGGAUUGUACCAUAUCACUUUCCUGGUUUUGAUAUUGUACUAUAGUUACACAAGAUGUAAACACUGAGAAAACUGGGUAUGGAACCUCCCAGUACAAUUUUUUUUACAACUUCUUAAGAAUUUAUUUUUCUUUCAAAAUUAAAAAAAUGUUAAACUUU